rnacentral:rRNA from 1 species
AAGAUUAAGCCAUGCAUGUCUAAGUGCAAGCCACAUUAAGGUGAAACCGCGAAAGGCUCAUUAUAUCAGUCAUGGUUCAAAGGAUGGUACCGAGUUACUUGGAUAACUGCGGUAAUUCUGGAGCUAAUACAUGCAUCGAAACGCCGAACCGGAGACGGUAGGCGUGCUUUUAUUAGAUCAAAACCAAUCGGUGGGCUUGCCCUCCGUUCUUUUUGGUGACUCUGGAUAACUUUGAGCUGAUCGCACGGUCUCGCACCGGCGACGCAUCUUUCAAAUGUCUGCCUUAUCAACUGUCGAUGGUAGGUUCUGCGCCUACCAUGGUGAUAACGGGUAACGGGGGAUCAGGGUUUGAUCCCGGAGAGGGAGCCUGAGAAACGGCUACCACAUCCAAGGAAGGCAGCAGGCGCGCAAAUUACCCACUCCCGGCUCGGGGAGGUAGUGACGAAAUAUAACGAUACGGGACUCAUCCGAGGCCCCGUAAUCGGAAUGACUACACUUUAAAUCCUUUAAGGAGUAUCAAUUGAAGGGCAAGUCUGGUGCCAGCAGCCGCGGUAAUUCCAGCUUCAAUAGCGUAUAUUAAAGUUGCUGCGGUUAAAAAGCUCGUAGUUGGAUCUGUGUCCCGCACCGCCGGUUCACCGCCCGUCGGUGCAACUGGCCGGAUGCGGGAUGUCGUGCCGGUAGGGGUGUCAGCCGCCUUGGGGGAGCGAGAUCGACUACGUCUUUCGAGCGACCCCUUGGUGGGCGGCCUCGUUUCAAUCCUGCGUUGGUGCUCUUCACUGAGUGUCGAUGUGGGCCGGCAAUUUUACUUUGAACAAAUUAGAGUGCUCAGAGCAGGCAAGUUUUGCCUGAAUGGUGGUGCAUGGAAUAAUGGAAGAGGACCUCGGUCUGAAUUUGUUGGUUUAACGGAUCGGAGGUAAUGAUUAAUGGAGACAGGCGGGGGCAUUCGUAUAUUGUGGCUAGCGGUGAAAUGCUUUGACCCACAAUAGACGAACUACAGCGAAAGCAUUUGCCAAGGAUGUUCUCGUUGAUCAAGAACGAAAGUUAGAGGUUUGAAGGCGAUUAGAUACCGCCCUAAUUCUAACUGCAAACUAUAUCACCUAGCCAUCCGCCGACGUUCAUUUGAUGACUCGGCGGGCUGCUUCCGGGAAACCAAAGGCUUUGGAUUCCGGGGGAAGUAUGGUUGCAAAGCUGAAACUUAAAGGAAUUGACGGAAGGGCACCACCAGGUGUGGAGCCUGCGGCUUAAUUUGACUCAACACGGGGAACCUCACCAGGCCCGGACACUAAGAGGAUGGACAGAUUGAGAGCUCUUUCUUGAUUUAGUGGGUGGUGGUGCAUGGCCGUUCUUAGUUGGUGGAGCGAUUUGUCUGGUUAAUUCCGAUAACGAACGAGACUCUAGCCUGCUAACUAGUCGAUGAUUUCAAUCCGGCAUCCUUUAACGGCUGCCGGCGAAAACAACUCUUCUUAGAGGGACAGGCGGCUCCUAGCCGCACGAGAUUGAGCAAUAACAGGUCUGUGAUGCCCUUAGAUGUUCUGGGCCGCACGCGCGCUACAAUGAAGGUAUCAACGUGUGUUCCUUGGCCGAGAGGCCCGGGUAACCCGCUGAACCACCUUCGUGCUUGGGACUGGGGCUUGAAAUUGUUCCCCAUGAACGAGGAAUUCCCAGUAAAGGCGUGUCACUAGCACGCCUUGAUUACGUCCCUGCCCUUUGUACACACCGCCCGUCGCUACUACCGAUUGAAUGAAUUAGUGAGGUCUUCGGACCAGCGCGCGGUUCUCGUUUCAUAACUCCCGUCGCUGCAGGGAAGAUGAUCGAACUUGUUCAUUUAGAGGAAGUAAAAGUCGUAACAAGGUUUCCGUAGGUGAACCUG